AGAGUUUGAUCCUGGCUCAGGAUGAACGCUGGCGGCGUGCCUUAAGCAUGCAAGUCGAACGGUUGAGUCGCAAGACAAGACAGUGGCAGACGGGUGAGUAACGCGUAGGAAUCUAUCCCUAGGUGGAGCAUAGCCCCUCGAAAGAGGGGGUAAUUCUCCAUAGUUCUCGUAAGAGUAAAGGACUUAACGGUCCGCCAAGGGGGGAGCCUGCGUCCUAUCAGCUAGUUGGCGGGGUAAAUGCCCACCAAGGCGAUGACGGGUAGCUGGACUGAGAGGUCGAUCAGCCACAACUGCACUGAGACACGGGCAGUACAUCUACGGAUGGCAGCAACUGGGAAUAUUGCGCAAUGGACGAAAGUCUGACGCAGCGACGCCGCGUGGAGGAAGAAGGCCCUCGGGUUGUAAACUCCUUUUACUAAGCCGUUCACAGCUUAGAGAAUAAGCUCCUACUAACUACGUGCCAGAAGUCUCGGUAAUACGUAGGGAGCAAGCGUUAUCCGGAUUCAUUGGGCGUAAAGUGUGCGUAGGCGUCCCAUAAAGUCUUUGCUUAAAGACCAAGGCUUAACCUUGGCAGUGGUGAAGAUACUCAUGGGAUUGAGGAUUGGUUGGGAAGCUGGAACAGUUAGUGUAGCAGUGAAAUGCGUUGAUAUUAACUGGAACACCAAGGGCGAAGGCAAGCUUCUGUACUUUUCCUGACGCUGAGGCACGAAAGCUGGGGUAGCGAAACAGAUUAGAUACCUGUGUAGUCCUAGCCGUAAACGAUGUCCGCUGGCUCUUGCCGACUUGUCGGCAGGGGUCCAAGCUAACGCAUUAAGCGGACCGCCUGGGGAGUACGGCCGCAAGGCUAAAACUCAAAUGAAUUGACGG
rnacentral:rRNA from 1 species